GGCAGCGCCAGGGCUGUUGUGUGGCUGCACGGUGGUGCUGCAGGGCGGGAUGCUGUACCCCCGGGAGAGCCCGUCAUGGAAGUGCAAGGAGCUGGACAGCCCCUGGAGCUUCCGCGCCGACUUCUCCGACGACCGGCGCCGGGGCUUCCAGGAGCGGUGGUAGCGGCCGCUGCUGCGUUUGGCCCCACCCUGGACAUGCAGGUUCUCUCCAGCUUCAAGAACAUCUGCCAGGACUCGCGGCUAUGGCUUUUGUCAGCUGGGUGUGGCACAAAUGGGAUGUGACCUUGCCAGAGUGGUGGAUCCAGGACCUGCAGAGAAGAGUGGUGCUGAGGAUUGGCAGUGCCCACUCCUAUGCCAUUCUGACUUUGACUUCAGCCCGGCGGGACUGCAGCGGUCUGUGCUUCUGUUCACGACACUCACCACCUGCAUUGAUGACAUCACCAUCACCGUCACCACCAGCGUGGAGCAAGACAGUGGUGAGAGCUUCCACGUUACUGCCACCUGCUAUAGGUGACUGAGAAGUGGGCCUAGGGCACCUUCAGACUCAACCCCAAUGAUGAGGACAUCCACACAGCCAGCGAGCACCACCUGAAGGGUCUUGCUCUGUCACCUAGUCUGGAGUGCAGUGGUGGGAUCUCUCCUACCUGCAAACUUUGCCUCCCUGGGUCAAGUGAUUCUCCUACCUCAGCCUCCCAAGUAGCUGGGAUUACAGAUAGAGUUUUGCUCUUGUCACCCAGGCUGAAGUGCAGUGGCACUCGGCUCAGUGCAACCUCUGCCUCCCAGAUUCAAGCAAUUCUCCUGCCUCAGUCUCCACAGUAGCUGGAACUACAGGGAACAUGACAUCCUCUUCCUAGGUUACACCCACCUGCAGAGGGCCCAGCCCCAUCACUGGAGCCACUGGAUUCUGAGUAUCAUUGCAGGAUGAGUAUUUUGUGUCAAGUGGAUUCAAGGGACAGUGCGAAGGAUCCAUGGCCUCAGUCAUGAAGACUCUCCCAAGAGCCAACCGUCCUGGGCACAUAUAAAUGAGUGGAGACAUGGAACUCACCCUUACAAGGCCUAGAACUUGACAGAGCAUACAAGACAGAAGCCCAAAUAACCAAGAACAGGAAGCUGAAGGUGACAUAGGAGGCUUUGUGGGUAACAGGCAUCAGCCAGGGCCAGCAGCCUUCAGUCAGAAGCUGAUGGAGGAGGAGGAGCUCCGACUAUUCUCACGGAAGUAUUUGUGCCCUUGUGGCUUGCUCUGUUGCAGCACUUUGGGAGGUCAAAGCAGGUGGACCGCUUGAGUCCAGGAGUUAGAGACCAGCCUGGACAACAUGUUGAAACCCCAUCUCUACAAAAAAAAUACAAAUUAGGCACAGUGGUGGAUGCAUAUAGUUCCAGUUACUCAGGAGGCUGAAGUAAGAAGAUGGCUUUAGUGUGGGACGUGAAGAUUGCAGAAAGCUGACAUCACAACACUGCACUUCAGU